rnacentral:rRNA from 1 species
UACGUAGGGUGCAAGCGUUAAUCGGAAUUACUGGGCGUAAAGAGCGCGCAGGCGGCUGGUCAAGUCCGAUGUGAAAUCUCCCGGCUCAACUGGGAAACUGCAUCGGAAACUGAUCGGCUUGAAGAUGGGAGAGGGUAGUGGAAUUCCCGGUGUAGUGGUGAAAUGCGUAGAUAUCGGGAGGAACACCAGUGGCGAAGGCGACUACCUGGCCCAUUCUUGACGCUGAGGCGCGAAAGCUAGGGGAGCGAACGGG